AGCGAUGCUAUACAUCGCGAAAGAAUGUUUCGUGAAUUUUCACGAACACUGUCUUUUGUUGCUUUCCGCAAAUAUUAUACAAAAAAUAAAACCACUAUUAAAGUAGUAUUACUCUGUGUCGGUCACACCACUAGAAUUAUUGCUCUGACACACUUUGAACCAAUAUCACUGCUCACUCUAAUCUGCUGGUAAUAAAGUAAUAUCAUUAGGUUCUUCUAGUCAUCAAAGUAUUUUCAAUGCCGUGAACAUCUUUAGGCUAACUUCCUAAGCUCUUUUCUUCUAAAUUUUAAUCAUUUUCUUUUUGUAUGAUGAGAUAUCGAUGUUCUACUUUGGCAUUCCUUUAUAGUGUGUUACAGACAUACACAGAGGUGUGAAAACACAGAUGCUGGAGCUGAGGCGAGUCUACUUUUGUGGGCAAGGAUAGAUGAGAUGGAAUGGAAGCUGUGAAGCGGUUGAGAUGGAAGAAAACCAGAAAUAGGGUCAUCACAAUACUAAGGGGGAAAAUUAUUGCACCAAAAAAAAUGCUAAAGAGGGGAAAGAAACGCAUCACGCAUGAGAGAGAAACACGCGUUG
rnacentral:lncRNA from 1 species